rnacentral:rRNA from 1 species
GACAGAGGAUGCAAGCGUUAUCCGGAAUGAUUGGGCGUAAAGCGUCUGUAGGUGGCUUUUCAAGUCCGCCGUCAAAUCCCAGGGCUCAACCCUGGACAGGCGGUGGAAACUACCAAGCUGGAGUACGGUAGGGGCAGAGGGAAUUCCUGGUGUAGCGGUGAAAUGCGCAGAUAUCAGGAGGAACACCGGUGGCGAAGGCGGUUCUCUGGGCAUUACCUGACGCUGAGGAGCGAAAGUGUGGGGAGCGAACAGG